GACGCCUGAGGAAUGUUCCACUGCUAUAAGGAUAGGCAAUGGAAAUGUUAACCGAGUCAUAAUCAAGCUUAGGCUUGGUAUCCUAUUAUUAUUUACCAAAAGAAUUCAGAAUUAAUAUUGUAACAUAGACGUAAAAAAUCUAUAAAACAACUUUUAACAACGGAUCUCUUGGUUCUCGCAUCGAUGAAGAACGUAGCAAAGUGCGAUAACUAGUGUGAAUUGCAUAUUCAGUGAAUCAUCGAGUCUUUGAACGCAACUUGCGCUCAUUGGUAUUCCAAUGAGCACGCCUGUUUCAGUAUCAAAACAAACCCUCUAUCCAACUUUUUGUUGAAUAGGAUGACUGAGAGUCUCUUGAUCUAUUUUGAUCUUGAAUCUCUUGAAAUGUACAAAGGCCUGAUCUUGUUUGAAUGCCUGAACUUUUUUUUAAUAUAAA
rnacentral:misc_RNA from 1 species